CAGUCGCCGCGGGAAUACGUAGGUCCCGAGCGUUGUCCGGAUUUAUUGGGCGUAAAGCGAGCGCAGGCGGUUAGAUAAGUCUGAAGUUAAAGGCUGUGGCUUAACCAUAGUACGCUUUGGAAACUGUUUAACUUGAGUACAAGAGGGGAGAGUGGAAUUCCAUGUGUAGCGGUGAAAUGCGUAGAUAUAUGGAGGAACACCGGUGGCGAAAGCGGCUCUCUGGCUUGUAACUGACGCUGAGGCUCGAAAGCGUGGGGAGCAAACAGGAUUAGAUACCCGCGUAGUCCCUGUCUCUUAUACA
rnacentral:rRNA from 1 species